rnacentral:misc_RNA from 1 species
GAUGAAGAACGCAGCGAAAUGCGAUACUUGGUGUGAAUUGCAGAAUCCCGUGAACCAUCGAGUCUUUGAACGCAAGUUGCGCCCGAAGCCAUUAGGCCGAGGGCACGCCUGCCUGGGCGUCACACGUCGUUGCCCCCCAUCUACUCCUUCGGGAUUGCGGGGGGCGGAUGAUAGCCUCCCGUGCGCCUCGUCGCGCGGUUGGCAUAAAUGCCAAGUCCUCGGCGACGCACGCCACGACAAUCGGUGGUUGCGAAACCUCGGUUGCCCGUCGUGUGCGGUCGUCGCGCAUCGAGGGCUCGAAAAAAUUGCCGGGCUCCGGCUCGGCUUUCAACGCGACCCCAGGUCAGGCGGGGUUACCCGCUGAAUUUAAGCAUAUCAAUAAGCGGAGGA